rnacentral:rRNA from 1 species
GGUGCGAAAGCAGGUCAUAGUGAUCCGGUGGUUCUGAAUGGAAGGGCCAUCGCUCAACGGAUAAAAGGUACUCCGGGGAUAACAGGCUGAUACCGCCCAAGAGUUCAUAUCGACGGCGGUGUUUGGCACCUCGAUGUCGGCUCAUCACAUCCUGGGGCUGAAGUAGGUCCCAAGGGUAUGGCUGUUCGCCAUUUAAAGUGGUACGCGAGCUGGGUUUAGAACGUCGUGAGACAGUUCGGUCCCUAUCUGCCGUGGGCGCUGGAGAACUGAGGGGGGCUGCUCCUAGUACGAGAGGACCGGAGUGGACGCAUCACUGGUGUUCGGGUUGUCAUGCCAAUGGCACUGCCCGGUAGCUAAAUGCGGAAGAGAUAAGUGCUGAAAGCAUCUAAGCACGAAACUUGCCCCGAGAUGAGUUCUCCCUGACCCUUUAAGGGUCCUGAAGGAACGUUGAAGA